UCUGAAGGAAAAAAAUUAAUUGAUGGCAUCUGCCUCCAAUGGGCCAUAGAUACAUGCUUCCUUGAUGACAACACAAUGUGUAUGUAAUCUUCAUCCAAAGACUUGACUAAAUUUGAAACUAAUCCAUCAACUGUUUGAGAAGAGUAAAAUCGAAGCACUUUGUGCGUAAUCUAUUAAUAUAUUACAUAAACAAAUAAUUACAAAGGAAUUCUUAGUCUUUUAACCACCACUCGCACAUUCGUUAUUGAAACUUGUUCUAAAAUUCUGUUGCCUUUAUCUCUCUUCUUCUUUUUUCUUUCUGUCAUUGCUCCUCUUACAGAUUCAUCAUCCAUCCUCAGUAUUAUUAUUCUGCAUAUAUUUCAUAAUGAGAUCUUUUUCAAGUAAUUAAAAUCAUUGUAUAUUGAGGCAAAAGUUGAAAACAAUAUUGAACAGCAACUUAAAAAAAUAAGAUAGCCGGUAAAUAGAUGCAGAGAAACACAACCCAAGUUGAAGUAAUCAAAGCCAAACUCCAUCUUCUCACAUGCUAAUACUGCGGUUUUUUUCGAUCAAG
rnacentral:lncRNA from 1 species